CCAGAUAAUUCUUUUCACGUCAACCAGAUAAUUCUUUUCACGUCAACCAGAUAUUUCUUUGUCCGUCAACCAGAUAUUUCUUUUCACGUCAACCAGAUAUUUCUUUUCACGUCAACCAAAUAAUUCUUUUAUAACAUUUACUCAGUACAUCCUAUUAUUACGUUGGUUAUAAGUUUUUACUCUCGAAAUAAUAAGUUACCUAAUUUUUUCUGGCCUUCCCAAACACCUUAAAUGAACAGCACAUUACAAAAUUGUUCCCCAUUGGCUACUUCUGAUUGAGCACAGGGAAAACAACAACAACAAUAACCACACCGACAAAAUGAACUGUUAAAUCUAUAUUUCAGCGACAAAAAAAAUAUUGCGUGACAGAGUACGCACAUAUCUUCUGCAUGCAGAUAUCAAAGACUUACUUCAGAAAGCACAGACGAGAAAAAUAAUGGAGAAUGAAGAAGUAUAUAACCUACUCAAACGACAAAGGAAUCAUCAACAGUGAUCGUACUAACAG